rnacentral:rRNA from 1 species
GUGGGGAAUAUUGGGCAAUGGGCGAAAGCCUGACCCAGCAACGCCACGUGAAGGAAGAAGGUUUUCGGAUCGUAAACUUCUAUCCUAGGUGAAGAUAAUGACGGUAGCCUAGAAGCAAGCCCCGGCUAACUACGUGCCAGCAGCCGCGGUAAUACGUAGGGGGCAAGCGUUGUCCGGAAUGAUUGGGCGUAAAGGGCGCGUAGGCGGCUAUGUAAGUACGAUGUGAAAGUCCUGCUUUUAAGGUGGGAAUUGCAUUGGAAACUUUGUGGCUGGAGUGCAGGGUAGGUAAGUGGAAUUCCCGGUGUAGCGGUGAAAUGCGUAGAGAUCGGGAGGAACACCAGUGGCGAAGGCGACUUACUGGACUGUAACUGACGCUGAGGCGCGAAAGUGUGGGGAGCAAACAGGAUUAGAUACCCUUGUAGUCC